rnacentral:lncRNA from 1 species
CGAACAGUUGUGCUUGCCCUUUGACCUCUGAGCACGGCGCAGGCGCAGAAGGCUGGGAGCCAGUGGCUGUCACGGUGAAAAGUGCGCGAAUGAAUGUGUUCCCGCGAGAACCAGGGGACAGAGAGAGACCCAGGGCUUCCAGCUGUCAGGCAGUCUCCGCAGAAGCUUCAGAGCAGGCCGUGAGCGAGGAGGCCCUGCCCGACCGCGUCCACACUGCAGAGCUGUACAGCUUGCUGUGGGGCUGAGGCCCAGGCUUUGUGUGACGUCCACGGCUGACAGCGAUGAGUCACCAGGGAAAGACCCACAUUGCAGGCUGCUGGAGGCUUCUGCUGAGUUCCUGAGGCCGCCGAGCUGCACACAAACUUGCCGGA